ensembl:lncRNA
UAAGUCUAACCCACGGGAGGAUGAUUUGAGAUGAACUGGAGGCAGACCUGCACAGAAUCCUCAGCUUCAUUACCACUUUCAGUCAUCAGCGUUCAGUGGCAAAAACCAGGCCAGUGAUGGCCUGGGAUGCGGGGAUGAUCUUUGUAUCUUCAGUGUCUGACCAAGUCCUAAGGGCACCACAGGGCACCUUCAGCUGCCUUCAAGGCUGUGGUCACCCAUUGUUCUCGUUUGCCUGUCCCACCCGAGGAAAUAUUCCCAUGCUUGGAGAGGACGUCCCCUAACUCUCCGACAGGUUUGAGCCUGUCAGUUACCCUCAACCUGGUCUACCUGUCUGCUGGGAUGGGUUACUGGGACAUGGCUGCUGCACAUGCUACUUUGGAGCCACAGGUGAGAGCUGAUACCAAAGAUGGAUGACAAGCCCAACAAGAACUUGGCAAGCCUUUCACCCCCAAGGGGCUCACCUCCUUGGAUACACCAGUUUCCUUAUUCUGUUUUAGGCCAGUGAAGAUCAUAUUGUUUCAUCACAGGGAGGUUGGUGUGAGGUCCGAUCCAAAUUCAAAAUGUCGCUGUGGCUCUAGGGCCGAAGGCCAUGGAAACUCAACUCUGCUAACUCCUCUACUCAGUAGUAGUAAUUAUAAUUAAUAUCUAUAUAGUGUUUACUACAAGCCAAGCACUUGACAAUUAUUAUCUCAUUCUAUCUUUAUCACAGUCCUGGGGGGUAUGUGCGAUUAUUAUCCCAAUUUCACAAAUGACUUAACUGAGACAUGCAGGAAUUAAGUGACUUGCACUAGAUCAUACAACUAGUCUGAAUCUGGGGACAAAUUUGAAUUCAGUCUCAGCCAUUAUUAGCCCCUGUGAUGUCUCUUUAUGUGGCAGCUACCUGCCCCCCACCUUUGGAGGCUCUCUAGCCCAUUCUAAAAGUAAGCACUUCCCUCCCACACCUGAGAAGGGAACAUCUACUCCUGUAAUUUGUGCCUGGGAAAAGCCCUGUUUGUACCCCCCCUAAUAAUAACUCUGGUUCGUAGACUUGGGAGGUUUCUUAAAGAAAAAGACCUAGAAAAAUGUCCCCAGAGAGAGAAAAACCAAAAACAGAGGACAAAAGCUAGAAAAAUGUGUUUAAUUAACAAAGUUCUCCACUUGACUGCCCAUGGACUCUGUAGGUUUCCCUUUUGUUCUGCCUACACUCAUGGAUUCAAGUUUGGGAAAAAAAUUCUUAUCAAACUGCCCUACUAACUAUUCCCCAUACACAGUAAUCCACCUUCCCCUCCAGUUAUUGGCACUCUUCCUCCUGAAAUUAUCUUGUCUUCCUACAAUUUUCCAUUUGCUUAGUGGUAGUAAGCAGUACAUCUCCACUCACCUACUCUCUGUCUCCCUUAAAGACAGCAACUGCUCUGUUUUUGUCUGCAUCUCUAAGUUAAAUAAUUGUGGAACAAAGGUGGAGGAAUAUUUAGGAUCCAUAACCAGGCUACUGGUCAAAGCUGAAGGAUAUAGAAAGAGACUUGAUAGAAGCCCAAUAGUUAUGUAAUAAAAGCAUCAGCCACAUAGUAAAGAUAAAACCAUCUCUUCUGUAUCCACCUCCUGAAUUAUGGAACCAAUUUCCUAUUUAAGUUUGUAUGUAUUUCUAGGUAUACAUGUUGAUUCCUCUGAUAAUCCAUAAGCUCCUUGAGGACAGUAAUUGCUUGACUUUGGAUUUUGUUUCCCAGGGCCUGGUGGCAGGCCAGUGCUUAAAAUAUGCUUUUUAAAGUGAUUGAACUAAUUUCAAAUCAAAAGCUCUUCUGGGGCACCAAGUAUAGAAAAAAAGGGAAUAAAAUGAAAUGAAUUCACAUGAGUUUUUUGACUUCCAUUGUGCCUAGAUAUCAGAGGGUUCUGUGGGAAAUAAAAGGACAGAAUGUUAAGUCUAUUGUGUCCUAUAAUAACUAGGUAUAGUAGGAUAUGCUAAAGUAUUGCAAGAGAUGUAACUGAGGGUUUUAUUGCUACUGUCACUUUUUGUCCCAACUUGAAAAACAUUUUAAAGUUGAUAUUUCAUGUUUCAAAAUAGUACAUGGCAGUCAACGUUCCUUUGGGGUCUUUUCUGAUUCAGCUACGGUUUAACUGCUGAAAUGAAGGUAUAAUUAUAUCUAUUUUUCUAAUAGUGAUAAAAAAAUAGGCCUAUGAUUUCACCAGUGUUAGGAAAUUCCCAAUGAGGAAAUCUCUCACACAAAGCAGAUCAGAAAUUUCUCUGCAACCUAAGUCUUAGGGGUUGCCUGGGGCAUUGCAAAAUGCAAUGCUGUGCUUGAAUAACUGAUAUUUAUAGAAUGCUUUAGUAUUUCAAAGUGCUUUAAGCAAAAAUGAUGAAAUAAAAAUAGCUGGCACUUAUAUUGCACAAAAUUAUAUAUAUAUAUAUAUAAAAUCUCAUUUGAUCCUCACAACUCUGUGAUGCAGACACUCCCAUUUUAUCAUUAUUAUCCUCAUUUUACAGAUGAGAAAACUGAGGCUGGCAGAGAUUAAGUGGUUUACCCAAAGUCAUGCAAUUAGUAAGGAACUAAGGCUGGAUUUGAACCCAAGUCCUGACUACAAGCCCAACACUCUGACUGUUGAGUGAUCUGGUUUCCUCCUUAUCUCAUUUAAUUCUCAG